UAAUGUAUGGGGAUCUGCCCGAUAGAGGGGGAUAACUACUGGAAACGGUGGCUAAUACCGCAUAAUGUCUACGGACCAAAGCAGGGGCUCUUCGGACCUUGCACUAUCGGAUGAACCCAUAUGGGAUUAGCUAGUAGGUGGGUAAAGGCUCACCUAGGCGACGAUCUCUAGCUGGUCUGAGAGGAUGAUCAGCCACACUGGGACUGAGACACGGCCCAG
rnacentral:rRNA from 1 species